rnacentral:rRNA from 1 species
AGAUUAAGCCAUGCAUGUGUAAGUGCAAGCCGUACUAAGGCGAAACCGCGAAAGGCUCAUUACAUCAGUUGUGGUUCCUUGGACUGUACCCAGUUACUUGGAUAACUGCGGAAAAUCUGGAGCUAAUACAUGCCGACAGAGUCCCGACCAGAGAUGGGAGGGACGCUUUUAUUAGAUCAAAACCAAAAAUCCCCCUCGGGGGAAACGGUUUAAGGUGACUCUGAAUAACUUUGUGCCGAUCGCACGGCCCUCGCGCCGGCGACGCGUCUUUCAAAUGUCUGCCUUAUCAACUUUCGAUGGUAGGCUCUGCGCCUACCAUGGUUGUAACGGGUGACGGGGAAUCAGGGUUCGAUUCCGGAGAGGGAGCCUGAGAAACGGCUACCACAUCCAAGGAAGGCAGCAGGCGCGCAAAUUACCCACUCCCGGCUCGGGGAGGUAGUGACGAAAGAUAACGAUGCAGGACUCUUUUGAGGCCCUGUAAUCGGAAUGACUACAUUUUAAAUCUCUUAAGGAGUAUCAAUUGGAGGGCAAGUCUGGUGCCAGCAGCCGCGGUAAUUCCAGCUCCAAUAGCGUAUAUUAAAGCUGUUGCGGUUAAAAAGCUCGUAGUUGGAUCUGUGCCCCGCACCGCCGGUCCCCGCUCUCGCGGAGCGACUGGCAGGUCUUUGCGGGGCGUCCUGCCGGUGGGAGGUCUUGCCGGCGGCGGUCUCAAUUUUUCGCUCCGGGUGUACGCUCGGUCCGGGGUGUUUACGUCUGCUCGCGUUCAGUCGGCCGGGCGACCGGUACGGCGGCGGGCCGUCCCCCGUUCUCGAAGCCCGGGCGGGCCGCCGAUGCGCGCGCUCCCGGUUAUCCGAUCCUGCCGAAGGUGCUCUUCACCGAGUGUCGAGGCGGGCCGGCAUGUUUACUUUGAACAAAUUAGAGUGCUUAAAGCAGGCUGGUGACGCCUGAAUGCUGUGUGCAUGGAAUAAUGGAAUAGGACCUCGGUUCUAUUUUCUUUUGGUUUUCUGAACCAGAGGUAAUGAUUAACGGAGACAGGCGGGGGCAUUCGUAUUGCGACGUUAGAGGUGAAAUUCUUGGAUCGUCGCAAGACGAACAGAAGCGAAAGCAUUUGCCAAGGAUGUUCUCGUUGAUCAAGAACGAAAGUCAGAGGUUCGAAGGCGAUCAGAUACCGCCCUAAUUCUGACCGUAAACGCUGCCAUCUGGUUAUUCGCCCACGUUACAACUUUUAUGACUGGGCGAGCAACCCUCGGGAAACCAAAGAUUUUGGGUUCCGGGGGAAGUAUGGUUGCAAAGCUGAAACUUAAAGGAAUUGACGGAAGGGCACCACCAGGAGUGGAGCCUGCGGCUUAAUUUGACUCAACACGGGAAACCUCACCAGGCCCGGACACUGGAAGGAUUGACAGAUUGAUAGCUCUUUCUUGAUUCAGUGGGUGGUGGUGCAUGGCCGUUCUUAGUUGGUGGAGCGAUUUGUCUGGUUAAUUCCGAUAACGAACGAGACUCUGGCCUGCUAACUAGUCGAGGGGGUCGGGUCCUGCGCGGGCCUCCUGGUCGCCCGUGCGUCGGACGGGCGUGUGUUUUCGGCCCUUGGCCGGGCGGGGGAGUUGUGGGGGGUCAAACCCUCGCUCUCCCUCGUUUCGGUCGGGGUGUCCGGAGCGCGCGUUUCGGACGGCGUCGUGGUGGCUGUGGUCGGUCUCGUAGGGCCCCCCCAACCCGGCAUCCUUUCAUAGUCGCUGCCGGCGAAAGCAAAUUCUUCUUAGAGGGACAGGCGGCUCCUAGCCGCACGAGAUUGAGCAAUAACAGGUCUGUGAUGCCCUUAGAUGUUCUGGGCCGCACGCGCGCUACAAUGAAGGUAUCAACGUGUGUCCCUUGGCCGAGAGGCCCGGGUAACCCGCUGAACCACCUUCGUGCUUGGGACUGGGGCUUGAAAUUGUUCCCCACGAACGAGGAAUUCCCAGUAAAGGCGUGUCACUAGCACGCCUUGAUUACGUCCCUGCCCUUUGUACACACCGCCCGUCGCUACUACCGAUUGAAUGAAUUAGUGAGGUCUUCGGACCAGCGCGCGGUUCUCGUCCCCUCGGGGACUCCCGUCGCAGCAGGGAAGAUGAUCGAACUUGUUCAUUUAGAGGAAGUAAAAGUCGUAACAAGGUUUCCGUAGUGACCUG